rnacentral:rRNA from 1 species
GAUCAUGGCUCAGGAUGAACGCUGGCGGCGUGCUUAACACAUGCAAGUCGAACGGUGAAGGGGAGCUUGCUUCCUGGAUCAGUGGCGAACGGGUGAGUAACACGUGAGCAACCUGCCCCGGACUCUGGGAUAAGCGCUGGAAACGGCGUCUAAUACUGGAUACGAACCACAGUCGCAUGGCUAGUGGUUGGAAAGAAUUUCGGUCUGGGAUGGGCUCGCGGCCUAUCAGCUUG